GGCUCUGUACCCGCCUGCCUUCCCGGGGGCUCCGACUCCACGUGCCUAGCCCCUCCUUCGAGCCUCUGGGCUCGGCGGGGUUAGCUGGCUGUGGCCGGUAACUUGCAGCUGCCUAGCAAAGUGGGGAUUGUUUCUGCAUGUCAAUCCACUGGCCUUGCACCAACAGGAGACAGGGUGGUUGGUGCCGUGGGCUGCACUGUGGUGUUCCCUGGACAAGAUCACAUUGACACCACUGGGGUUGUAUGGUGGGAGUAUAAACAAAAUGAAAAUAUCACUGAACUGUCCGUCGUACUUUAUUAUGUGGAAUCAUGGAAACUGGACAUCUUACCAGCGUAUAAGGAUCGUAUUGUAUUUAACAUGUCCAACUGGUCCCUGGGACUGAAAUUGCAACUAGCAGAUCGAGGCCUGUACAGAUUAAGGAGAGAAGAGGAGGACAAGAGUGGCAAAUGGAUCCAGUUGGAGGUUAUAGAGCCCUUAUCCAAGCCGGAACUCUUUAGGAACUCUUCCUUGGCGGGCUGCACCAUUGAAAUGGUCUGUAAUGUGACAGUAGGUAGGUGGAUUCCUAUCUGUGGAGUAAGGACCAUAAGCCUCUCACUGGGACUGAUCACUACCAACUCUCUCGGAAAACAAUGUACUUCUCAUACUGAAUGCAACACAGGCUGAUAGUGGCUGUUAUUCCUGCAAAGUUACCAGUGAAGUUAUUGAGAAUGAAACCUCCCUGGAAUUGGCCAUCAGUGAUUCUUCAGCUGUGGUUUCAGACGGAGUCAUUUUCGGAGUUGCUGUCAGAACUGCUGUCAUAAGUCUAGUAAUGGCAGAUGGGGACUUACACAGUGAAUAAAAACUCUGCCGUGCCUUCAUCUGGAUGAAGAAACAAUCCCAAUUUUAAAAAGAGACAUAAUGGAACAGAAAGUGAAUUAUACAGUUUGCGUCUGCCCAGCAACAACCACUUCAUCAGGCUUAAGACAGUCAUCAGACCUCUUACAAAUCAUAAAUUACAAAUCAGUGUUCUCUGUCAGAAAAUGCAUCUGAAACCGUCCAUCUUUUGGGUUUUGGUUCUUUGACACAAAGUUGCCAAUUGCCCAUCCAUGAACAAUACCAGCACUCAGAACUAUUUUUUAGAAAAUGCCUGCCCAGCAAAGGGGAGAGAGAGAGCUGCAGUUGCACAACAGCAUCUGAAAAUUAUAACUUAGCAUUUCAAGUUAUGUAGAAACAGAUUGAGUCUACGUUUAAACAAACAAGCAACAAAAUGCACAAAACAAUAGACCUAUAAGGGAGAGUGUUUAAAGGACAGGUUGUUUCCUAUAGAGCAAGGGUGUCAAACUCAUACUGGGGAGAGGGCUAAAGUCUAUUUGUAGUUGUGGUCUAUGAAGCAGGGUAUAAAUACAGAUCUCUAUGCAGUACAUCUCUGGAUCCAUAGUAGGAACUUCCCUUAUAUUAAUAGUAAGUCUGCCUAAAGGUCAAAGAUAAAUAUGGCUCUUAGUAAAUGCCAGUGUCUUAUUAUUGAAUUCACUCCGUAGAAAAAUAUGCUAAUUUUUCAAACCAUGGCUAUUUUUGCUUUUGUUCCUCCUCAUUCUCUGUCCUCCUUUUCCUGUCUUUAUGGCUUGUUUACAUGGAAAAAUUGACCAGAAUAAUUAUUGUAGGAUAAACUUUUCUACAAUAGCUCCUCAUGUGGGCACUACUCUGGAAUUCAUUAUGGAAUAAUUAGUGCAAUUUGAGCAUGUAAAUCAUGUUAUUCCAGAAUAAUUAUAUCCUGGAAUAGUGUCUACCUCGGGAGCUAUUCUGGUUUGUUUCCUUAAGCCUCUCCUUUCCUUCCUGUAGCAUCUCCCAAUUUCCCUCUUGUGGGCUUGACUCCCAAUUCUUUCACCAUCCAAUCUGUUAAACUGAGCAGUGAUGAAAUAGUUGUCAAUGAAAUGCUAUAACACCGACAGAAGCAGUGUGUGUGCCCACUGUAACUCAAGCAUGUCUCUCUCACCACCAGAAGUUGGUCUAAUAAAAGAUAUUACCUCAACUGCAAGGCUAACAACUCAGGCCAAAGGGGCAACAAUCUAUAUGUACUAAUCAUUUGUACCAUUAACAAUUUUUAAAAUGUAUUUGUAAUAAAAAUCUAGUAACUAAAAUGGCACCAUUAGGCUUGUUGACUUCUUUCCCCUGGGGUCUUUGAGUGGUAGUUUUUGGAGGCCUUACAACAGGCAAUGGUACAGGCUUUUCUGUGUCUAUGGUGUACUCUAAAAUACUUAGCGCUCUCUGAAACACACACAUACACACACACACACACUCUUAAACCCUUUCACUACCUAAUUGCAGGAGCAAACUACACUUGCACCAACAAAUUAGAGAGUUGGGCUUCUACAUUCUUGCACCUGCAUCUGCAGACACAAAAUUAGAGGCCAGGUUGAUGGCUCUCUCAAAAUGUCAUCCUAAGUAUUUUUGGGGGAGGGGGGAGGAGUCAGUGUUGUGAAGAGCUGAUCAAAGUAUUUGCUACGAAUUAGGGCUAUCAAGGUUAAUCAUGCUGUUAAACUCUAAUAGAAUACUGUGACAGUGCCCCCCAUAAGGCUUUAUGGAAAUAUGUUUAUGAAUGUAUAUAUGACAUAACUGGAAUAUGUUUUAUGCUACAUAGGCCAUGUAACAUAUCUCUGUAAAGGUUAUGGUCUGCUGAAUCUAUUCAUCCUAUUUGUAUACAUAUAUCAUUUUUGUAUUCAAAGUUAUGAAUAUUGGCUGUAUACUUGUCUGAUUCUAAGUAGGUUUUAGUGAAGCAGUUGGUCAGCUUCCUGAGAAAAGACUAUUCUCAGUAAGUGCCCAGCCAAGAAGCCCUUAAGCCAACAAUGAACUUGGAGAUGCCAAUCCACAUCUGAGCUUUCCCAGGAAGGUGGCUUGGCUGGUAAGGAACUCAGUCAUGCAUGGACAUGUGACUUGCCCAGGUGACUCCAAAACUCCAUUUUGUAGCUGGGCUUUUGCAUAGGAGAGAAGAGGGGGUCUCCACCCACAAGAGAAAGUCUAUUUAAAACGCUGGGAGACCCCUCCUUUUUGUCUUCAGCUGGCUAAUGAGAUAGCCUCUCCACCCCCAAGGAUACCUGAAACAAACUGAAACAAAGGACAGUAACUCCAGAGGGUGUGAGUGCUUGCUGGGACCCAGACUAGAAGGAGACUAGUCUGUAAAAGGAAGCUUACUGGAACUGGUGAGGUUUUAUCUUAUAUUAGACAUAGACUUGCAUGUUUUAUUUUAUUUUGCUUGGUAAUUCACUUUGUUCUGUCUGUUACUACUUGGAACCACUUAAAUUCUACUUUCUGUAUUUAAUAAAAUCACUUUUUACUUAUUAAU